UCCAAUUAGUUGACGAUAAUGUGAAAUAUAAUCGCAAAACCUACACUUACAAUGUUAAAAUGUAGUAUCUUAAAAAAUAACGAACUAAUGUUGCGGUUACCUCCGUAUGAGGGGCGUUGUUCGGCAUGAUGAAGCUUUAAACGUUAGCACAACAUUAGCCGUAAGCUAACUUUGAAGCUAACUCAGCUUAAAAGUGUCAGUUAGCUAUAUGAAGCCUAUGGUUAGCCGCUACGAUGAAAAUGCUGGGUGUUUUUGAGAACACAAAAUAGUCAAAGGAAUUACUCAUGGAGGACCAACAUUAGGGCGACUUCUAAAUGUCUGCAGGAAGAUGACAGUCACCACUCCCAUCAGCACCAGGGAGAAGAUGAUGCUGAAUCCUACGCCACUGUUGAGGGAGGACACGCAGGCAGUCAGUUUAGUACCCGUGUGAAGUUGGCCCCGAUCUGCAGCUGGGACAGGGACUGGCGGAUAUUGCGGCACAGCUGGGCGGAGGUGGCGUCUGACUCCUCGUCGUGGCAGCCCGGGUCGCUCAGGGUUCGGUUGAUGCUAGUCCGGAUCAGGCUCAGGUUAAAGUUGAGCUUCCCCGUUCCUUCCUGGAGAACCUCCAGACCCACGCUGACGUUCUCCAGGGCCUCCUUUGUCUCUCGCAUAGCUGAUAACAAAAGAUUCUCUUAACACAAUUUU